UCCAGACUCCUACGGGAGGCAGCAGUGGGGAAUAUUGCACAAUGGGGGAAACCCUGAUGCAGCGACGCCGCGUGAGCGAUGAAGUAUUUCGGUAUGUAAAGCUCUAUCAGCAGGGAAGAAAAUGACGGUACCUGACUAAGAAGCCCCGGCUAACUACGUGCCAGCAGCCGCGGUAAUACGUAGGGGGCAAGCGUUAUCCGGAUUUACUGGGUGUAAAGGGAGCGUAGACGGCGGUGCAAGCCAGAUGUGAAAGCCCGGGGCUCAACCCCGGGACUGCAUUUGGAACUGCUUGGCUGGAGUGCGGGAGGGGCAGGCGGAAUUCCUGGUGUAGCGGUGAAAUGCGUAGAUAUCAGGAGGAACACCGGCGGCGAAGGCGGCCUGCUGGACCGCUACUGACGUUGAGGCUCGAAAGCGUGGGGAGCAAACAGGAUUAGAUACCCGAGUA
rnacentral:rRNA from 1 species